AGCAACGCCGCGUGAGUGAAGAAGGUUUUCGGAUCGUAAAACUCUGUUGUUAGAGAAGAACAAGGAUGAGAGUAGAACGUUCAUCCCUUGACGGUAUCUAACCAGAAAGCCACGGCUAACUACGUGCCAGCAGCCGCGGUAAUACGUAGGUGGCAAGCGUUGUCCGGAUUUAUUGGGCGUAAAGCGAGCGCAGGCGGUUUCUUAAGUCUGAUGUGAAAGCCCCCGGCUCAACCGGGGAGGGUCAUUGGAAACUGGGAGACUUGAGUGCAGAAGAGGAGAGUGGAAUUCCAUGUGUAGCGGUGAAAUGCGUAGAUAUAUGGAGGAACACCAGUGGCGAAGGCGGCUCUCUGGUCUGUAACUGACGCUGAGGCUCGAAAGCGUGGGGAGCGAACAGGAUUAGAUACCCUGGUAGUCCACGCCGUAAACGAUGAGUGCUAAGUGUUGGAGGGUUUCCGCCCUUCA
rnacentral:rRNA from 1 species